UACGUAGGGUGCGAGCGUUAAUCGGAUUUACUGGGCGUAAAGCGUACGUAGGCGGCUUGUUAAGCAAGAUGUGAAAUCCCCGGGCUCAACCUGGGAAUUGCGCUUGUGACUGGCGGGCUCGAGUACGGUAGAGGGGGGUGGAAUUCCUGGUGUAGCAGUGAAAUGCGUAGAGAUCAGGAGGAACACCGAUGGCGAAGGCAGCCCCCUGGGCCUGUACUGACGCUCAUGCACGAAAGCGUGGGGAGCAAACAGG
rnacentral:rRNA from 1 species